UACGUAGGGACCAAGCGUUGUUCGGAUUUACUGGGCGUAAAGGGCGCGUAGGCGGCAUGACAAGUCACUUGUGAAAUCUCUGGGCUUAACCCAGAACGGCCAAGUGAUACUGUCGCGCUAGAGUGCGGAAGGGGCAAUCGGAAUUCUCGGUGUAGCGGUGAAAUGCGUAGAUAUCGAGAGGAACACCUGAGGUGAAGACGGGUUGCUGGGCUGACACUGACGCUGAGGCGCGAAAGCUAGGGUAGCAAACGGG
rnacentral:rRNA from 1 species